CUGAAUACCGAAGCUAUUCACACACGCGCACGCAGAAACGGAACACCCCACACACACGCAUACGCACAGCCAGUGGGAGAGAGAUCCUGAAAUUGGAAAGAUGCCGGUGAUGGAUAAGCUGAAGAUUUUCGUUGUACAAGAGCCUGUUGUUGCGGCUUCUUGCCUCAUCGCUGGCGUUGGACUCUUCCUUCCUGCUGUUGUGAGGCCUAUAUUGGAUUCCUAUGGCACAUCUAACCAAGGGCCCAAGACUUGUAUGAGUGAUAUAGUUGCUACUAUGAUUGAGAAGAAGAGAUAAACGUCAGAUUGGGCAAUUUUUCUUUUAUUAUGCAGCUUCUUGAGAAUAAAUUUUAACCCAAAUCUCCAUCUUCCAUAAAUGUAUCUUUUGCAUUCUACUUUGUAAAAGGACGAGAAGACUUAUAUGCUACUCCUAGCAUAGACAUUGUCACAUGUAACAAAUUUACGAAGUUUCAGUCACAUAAUUGUUGUAUGGUAUUUUAUUUUUCAUUGAAAUUUUCUGGUUCUUGCUGCCA